rnacentral:rRNA from 1 species
UACGUAGGUGGCAAGCGUUGUCCGGAAUUAUUGGGCGUAAAGCGCGCGCAGGCGGUCCUUUAAGUCUGAUGUGAAAGCCCACGGCUCAACCGUGGAAGGUCAUUGGAAACUGGAGGACUUGAGUACAGAAGAGGAAAGCGGAAUUCCACGUGUAGCGGUGAAAUGCGUAGAGAUGUGGAGGAACACCAGUGGCGAAGGCGGCUUUCUGGUCUGUAACUGACGCUGAGGCGCGAAGCGUGGGAGCAAACAGG